rnacentral:rRNA from 1 species
GACGAACCGAGCGAACGUUGUUCGGAAUCACUGGGCUUAAAGGGCGCGUAGGCGGGUAUUCAAGUCUGUGGUGAAAUCCGGCAGCUCAACUGUCGAAUUGCCGCGGAUACUGGGUAUCUCGAGGGAGGUAGGGGCGUGCGGAACUAAUGGUGGAGCGGUGAAAUGCGUUGAUAUCAUUAGGAACUCCGGUGGCGAAGGCGGCACGCUGGACCUCUUCUGACGCUGAGGCGCGAAAGCCAGGGGAGCAAACGGG